CCUACGGGACGCAGCAGUGGGGGAUAUUGCACAAUGGGGGGAACCCUGAUGCAGCGACGCCGCGUGGGCGAUGGAGUGCUUCGCCAUGUAAAGCCCUAUCAGCAGGGAAGAAAACGACGGUACCUGACUAAGAAGCCCCGGCUAAAUACGUGCCAGCAGCCGCGGUAAUACGUAGGGGGCAAGCGUUAUCCGGAUUUACUGGGUGUAAAGGGAGCGUAGACGGCAGAGCAAGUCUGAAGUGAAAGCCCGCGGCCCAACUGCGGGACUGCUUUGGAAACUGCCCGGCUAGAGUGCUGGAGAGGUAG
rnacentral:rRNA from 1 species